rnacentral:lncRNA from 1 species
GUCCCUUCCUUUGCCUAAUGGCCUAAUGUUCCCUACCAAUGAAGAACGGAGACCAAAUCGUCUGAGCAUGGAGCCAGUCUGAGAUAGAAGUUAGAAGCUCUAAGAGCCUCUCCCAUUAUGGUCUUUUCUUCAUCCAUGACCUAAACUCCAAGCAAAUCCUUCUAGAAAUAACUUCUGAGCGCCCACAAUGAUGUGUAUAAAUCAUGAUACCAGAACUUGCGGGAGAUACCCAGAGAGCAUGGCUUCUCCAUCAGGGAAGCUACAUUCCAGGCAGCAAGGAGCUGAGUGUACACAAAUGAGUCUGAUGUGAGGCAGGAAAUGUUAGGUGACGUACGUGAAAAACCAGCAAAACAGGACAGGGUUCAGAGCAGGAGAGAGUGCUUCUCUUGAGACCAGUCGGGAAAGCUGUCUGAACUAAGGGUUUGUGUUUUAACUGGACCUCGGAAGACAGUAAAGAGCCGGCGUGUGAUAGAAAUGUCUACCAGAGGGCUUCCAAGUGGAGGAACCAGCAGAGCAGAGGCUUGGCACCACAACGCUGUGUGUUAGUGCAAGAAGGAAUAUUAGGAAACCUACUAAAAGUCCACUGGAAAUCUUUGCUUGAAAACAUCAUUAUUGAUUUCAUUUUGCAACCUGCUGGCCUUGCUCGACCUCUGGGCUCAUCAGGUUGCAAAACAUGCUCCCCACACAGCCAAGCGGAGACUCAGAGCCCCCGUGUGCACUUCACAUCCUUGCUGGAAUCUCUGGGGAGAACAGGCUUUCUGCUCAGCCCUUCCUGGAGCAUUGAGAAGUCCCGAAAGCCAGCUCCAGGGAGCAGCUGUAAAUUUGCUGGCAGUCAGCAGCUUCUGGCUGUGGAGUGCUAGCUGUCCUCAGAGAUCUUCAUACCAAAAGAAAGACCUCCGAGGGUGGCACCAGGACAUCA